rnacentral:rRNA from 1 species
AUGAGCCCAAAGAAGCAUGAUAUAUUGAAGGAGAAAGUGGAGGAAUUGUUGCAAAAGGGGCACAUUCGAGAAAGUAUUAGCCCAUGUGAUGUACCAGCCCUACUCGCACCAAAGAAAGAUGGAUCUUGGCGCAUGUGUACGAACAGUAGAGCAGUUAACAAGGUCACCGUAAGGUAUAGAUUCCAUAUUCCCCAUCUGGAUGAUAUGUUGGAUCAGCUUAUUGGAGCAAGAGUGUUCACAAAGCUAGAUUUAAGAAGUGGAUAUCAUCAAAUCCGUAUAAGACCCGGGGAUGAAUGGAAGACCGCCUUCAAGACAAAGGAAGGGUUGUUUGAAUGGCUAGUCAUGCCAUUUGGACUCUCAAAUGCACCAAGUACCUUUAUGCACUUAAUGAGUCAAGUCCUUAGACCCUUCUUAUCCCACUUUAUUGUGGUCUAUUUCGAUGACAUCUUGAUCUAUAGCAAGGAUGAGGAUGAACACUUUGAUCACAUUUGGAAGGUGCUAGAAGUACUAAGGGAAAAUGAGCUCUACGUCAACUUGAAGAAAUGUGUUUUCCUACAAACACAACUUCUUUUCCUAGGAUUCGUCAUAACAUGUGACGACAUUCGUGUUGAUGAUUCUAAGGUUGAAGCAAUCUGA